rnacentral:rRNA from 1 species
UACGUAGGGGCCGAGCGUUGUCCGGAGUUAUUGGGCGUAAAGGGCGCGUAGGCGGCCUGCUAAGUCGAACGUGAAAUCCCUGGGCUCAACCCAGGAACUGCGUCCGAUACUGGUUGGCUUGAAUCCGGGAGAGGGAUGUGGAAUUCCAGGUGUAGCGGUGAAAUGCGUAGAUAUCUGGAGGAACACCGGUGGCGAAGGCGACAUCCUGGACCGGUAUUGACGCUGAGGCGCGAAAGCCAGGGGAGCAAACGGG